AACGAACGCUGGCGGCGCGCCUAAUACAUGCAAGUCGAGCGAGAAGACGUAGCAAUACGUUUGUAAAGCGGCGAACGGGUGAGGAAUACAUGGGUAACCUACCCUCGAGUGGGGAAUAACUAGCCGAAAGGUUAGCUAAUACCGCGUACGCUCCUUGGACUUCGGUUCAGGGAGGAAAGCGAUACCGUGGGUAUCGCGCUCUUGGAUGGGCUCAUGUCCUAUCAGCUUGUUGGUGAGGUAACGGCUCACCAAGGCUUCGACGGGUAGCUGGUCUGAGAGGACGAUCAGCCACACUGGCACUGCGACACGGGCCAGACUCCUACGGGAGGCAGCAGUAAGGAAUAUUGCGCAAUGGGCGAAAGCCUGACGCAGCGACGCCGCGUGGGGGAUGAAGGUCUUCGGAUUGUAAACCCCUUUCGGGAGGGAAGAUGGAACGAGCAAUCGUUCGGACGGUACCUCCAGAAGCAGCCACGGCUAACUUCGUGCCAGCCGCCGCGGUAAC
rnacentral:rRNA from 1 species